AGUGAACGCUGGCGGUAGGCCUAACACAUGCAAGUCGAACGGCAGCACAGUAAGAGCUUGCUCUUACGGGUGGCGAGUGGCGGACGGGUGAGGAAUACAUCGGAAUCUACUUUUUCGUGGGGGAUAACGUAGGGAAACUUACGCUAAUACCGCAUACGACCUACGGGUGAAAGCAGGGGAUCUUCGGACCUUGCGCGAUUGAAUGAGCCGAUGGCGGAUUAGCUAGUUGGCGGGGUAAAGGCCCACCAAGGCGACGAUCCGUAGCUGGUCUGAGAGGAUGAUCAGCCACCCUGGAACUGAGACACGGUCCAGACUCCUACGGGAGGCAGCAGUGGGGAAUAUUGGACAAUGGGCGCAAGCCUGAUCCAGCCAUACCGCGUGGGUGAAGAAGGCCUUCGGGUUGUAAAGCCCUUUUGUUGGGAAAGAAAAGCAGCAGGUUAAUACCCCGCUGUUCUGACGGUACCCAAAGAAUAAGCACCGGCUAACUUCGUG
rnacentral:rRNA from 1 species